rnacentral:rRNA from 1 species
AACGAACGCUGGCGGCAUGCCUAACACAUGCAAGUCGAACGAAGUCUUCGGACUUAGUGGCGCACGGGUGCGUAACGUGUGGGAAUCUGCCCUUGGGUGCGGAAUAACUUCUCGAAAGGGAUGCUAAUACCGCAUAAUGUCGUAAGACCAAAGAUUUAUCGCCCAAGGAUGAGCCCGCGUAAGAUUAGCUAGUUGGUGGGGUAAAAGCCUACCAAGGCGACGAUCUUUAGCUGGUCUGAGAGGAUGAUCAGCCACACUGGGACUGAGACACGGCCCAGACUCCUACGGGAGGCAGCAGUGGGGAAUAUUGGACAAUGGGCGAAAGCCUGAUCCAGCAAUGCCGCGUGAGUGAUGAAGGCCCUAGGGUUGUAAAGCUCUUUUACCAGGGAUGAUAAUGACAGUACCUGGAGAAUAAGCUCCGGCUAACUCCGUGCCAGCAGCCGCGGUAAU